rnacentral:rRNA from 1 species
UUUGACCUCAAAUCAGGUASGACUACCCGCU